GAUUUCCUAGUGGCGAACGGGUGAGUAACGCGUUGGUGACCUGCCCCAAAGAAGGGGAUAACAGUUCGAAAGAGCUGCUAAUACCCUAUGUUAUCAGUUGGAUUAGAUGCCUACUGAUUAAAGGAGUAAUCCGCUUUGGGAGGGACCUGCGUCCCAUCAGCUAGUUGGUAGGGUAACGGCCUACCAAGGCAAUGACGGGUAGGGGACCUGAGAGGGUGACCCCCCACAAUGGCACUGAAACACGGGCCAUACACCUACGGGUGGCAGCAGUAGGGAAUAUUGGACAAUGGGCGAAAGCCUGAUCCAGCAACGCCGCGUGCACGAUGACGGCCUUCGGGUUGUAAAGUGCUUUUAGAGGAGAUGAGAAAGGACAGUAUCCUCUGAAUAAGCCUCGGCGAACUACGUGCCAGCAGCCGCGGUAAAACGUAGGAGGCAAGCGUUAUCCGGAUUUAUUGGGCGUAAAGCGCGUGCAGGCGGUUUAACAAGUUGGAUGUGAAAGCUCCCGGCUUAACUGGGAGAGGUCGUUCAAUACUGUUAGACUAGAGAAUGGGAGAGGGAGGUGGAAUUCCGGGUGUAGUGGUGAAACGCGUAGAUAUCCGGAGGAACACCAGUGGCGAAAGCGGCCUCCUGGACCAUUACUGACGCUAAGACGCGAAAGCUAGGGUAGCAAACGGGAAUUAGAGACCCCGGUAGUCCUAGCUGUAAACGANGUAGACUUCGGCGUCGGCGGAGUUAAAUCUGCCAGUGCCGUAGCUAACGCGAUAAGUCUACCGCCUGGGGACUACGAAUCGCAAGAAUUAAAACUUCAAAGGAAAUUGACGGGGAACCCGCACAAGCAGCGGAGCGUGUGGGUUUUAAUUCGACGCUUACACGAAGAAACCUUUACCAGGGUUUGACACGUAAGUGGGUAGUGAAUCCGAAAGGUGAAACGAACCCCUUCGGGGAGCUUUACACAGGUGCUGCACGGCUCGUCGUCAGCUUCGUGUCGUGAGAAGGUUUCGGGUUAAGUCCGCUUAACGAGCGCAACCCUUCACUGUGUGUUUACAAGUGUCACACGGGAUCGCCGGUUUUAAGCCGGAGGAUGGCGGGGAACGAACGUCAAGU
rnacentral:rRNA from 1 species